rnacentral:tRNA from 2 species
GCGGGUGUAGCUCAAUGGUAGAGCCCCAGCUUCCCAAGCUGGUGACGGGGGUUCGAUUCCCCUCACCCGCUCCA